rnacentral:rRNA from 1 species
CAAAAGCGUAUAUUAAAGUUGUUGCAGUUAAAAAGCUCGUAGUUGAACCUUGGGCUUGGCUGGCCGGUCCAUCUUUUUUGAUGCGUACUGGACCCAGCCGAGCCUUUCCUUCUGGCUAGCCUUUUGGCGAACCAGGACUUUUACUUUGAAAAAAUUAGAGUGUUCAAAGCAGGCCUUUGCUCGAAUAUAUUAGCAUGGAAUAAUAGAAUAGGACGUUAUGGUUCUAUUUUGUUGGUUUCUAGGACCAUCGUAAUGAUUAAUAGGGACGGUCGGGGGUAUCAGUAUUCAGUUGUCAGAGGUGAAAUUCUUGGAUUUACUGAAGACUAACUACUGCGAAAGCAUUUACCAAGGACGUUCUCAUUAA